rnacentral:rRNA from 1 species
GACGAACGCUGGCGGCGUGCUUAACACAUGCAAGUCGAACGGAAAGGCCUGCUUUCCCUUGUGGAUUGCGGGUACUCGAGUGGCGAACGGGUGAGUAACACGUGAGUGAUCUGCCCCCAACUUGGGUAUAAGCCUGGGAAACUGGGUCUAAUUCCCGAUAGGACUGCAGGGUGGUGCCUGUGGUGGAACACGAUUUUCUAGUGGUUGGGGAUGAGCUGGCGGCCUAUCAGCUUGUUGGUGGGGUAAUGGCCUACCAAGGCGGCGACGGGUAGCCGGCCUGAGAGGGUGGACGGUCACAUUGAGACUGGGAUACGACCCAGACGGGUGCGGGAGGCAGGAGUGGGGAGUAUUGGGGAAUGAGCGGGAGCCUGAUGCAGCGAGGCCGUGAGGGGGAUGACGGGCUUCGGGUGGUAAACUCCUGUCGAACAAGAGGAAGCCGCCUGGUUGGAAGGGUGGUGACGGUAGUGGUAGAAGAAGCACCGGCUAACUACGUG